UACAGAGGGUGCGAGCGUUAAUCGGAGUGAUUGGGCGUAAAGGGCGCGUAGGUGGUAAUUUAAGUUAGUUGUGAAAACCCCGAGCUUAACUUUGGGAAGUCAACUAAAACUGGAUUACUUUGAGUACAGCAGAGGGGAGUGGAAUUUCCGGAGUAGCGGUAAAAUGCAUAGAUACCGGAAGGAACACCAGAGGCGAAGGCGGCUCUCUGGGCUGUAACUGACGCUGAGGCGCGAAAGCGUGGGUA
rnacentral:rRNA from 1 species